ACCGCCGUGGAGGGAUUUGGCGUCAGAUUGCCCUUUCGCAACGACCAAUCGUGUCGUGGAACCACUAUACUUUUAUAUUAGAAUGGAAUUGUUAUCAUUUUCUUUAUUGUUAGCUUUCGAGAAUUUGAGUACGAGUAAGAAUUGACAAACAACGGUUGUUGUUGUUUUUUGUCAGUAUCUACUUGAACUAAAUAUUCUUUCCGCGAAGUGUAAUAGAAGCGUGGGCGACUCCAGGUGCGAGCCGAUUACAUGCGGAGGUCUUAGGGCAUCUGAUUAGAUGUCCCAGGUUGUUUGACUAUAUAUAUACAGAGGCAGCGGAAGACUUGAACGGAGACUCCUGACCAGUGGUUCCUUUCCUUACUUCCCUGUUGGUCCAGUCCUAAAACAUGAGUCCUUGCGUCAUCAUCGCCCUUCUGGUGGCGGGAAUCGGCAGCGUCAUUGGAAUGGAGCUGUGCGCCAUAGACUGCACACACGGACACAGUUUCACUGCAGAUCCCGUCAACUGCAAAAACUAUUAUAUUUGCUAUGAUUUAUAUGACCAUAGUGAAUAUCCCUUCACUUGCGACGGCAACCAGUUCUUCGACAUUGUAUCCUACUCCUGUAAAGAUUCUGCGUACACUUGCACUCCUGAAUGUGAAAAAUGUUCUUUCGAUUGUGCCGAACCUGUCCUGGAUAAAAGAGCGAGCACACUCGACUGUGGUGUUUACUUUACAUGCAGCACAAGUGAGUGGACCACAUGUUCCCCUGAUGCGCCAUAUUUCAAUGGUGACGUUUGUCAGGUAGAGAAAAGCAACUGCUGCACUUGCAAGUCAUACUGCACUCGGGAUGAUGCGAUCAAUCACGUCCUUGUCCCAGACUUUCACGACUGUACCAGAUAUUACCUCUGUAUGGUGGCGGGGAUCCCGGACGAGACUACCCACGGCGAGUGUCCAAGCGGUAGUAAUUUCGAUCCUGACAUGCAUGAUUGUGCCGAAAAUGGCCCUUGCAUACAGCCUUGCGCCUGAACACAGAAGCGCCUGCAAGGAGCUCCCCUGCGUGCUGAGUAGACGACAUGCCUCAACAUGAUCAUGCUGCGGUACCUACUCGUGGCCAACUCUCUCCAGUGGGCCUUGUUCAGCAGAGAUGAGAUUGGCUCAAACUUUAUGAAAUCGAUAAAUAUAGUUUAAAAGAAAUAUU